AGUCUUCACCCAAAUAUAAUCGCGCGCAUCAGCGAAUCUUUGAGUGCAACAAAAAUGUUUGCAGACAUAAGUGCGUACUCGACAGAAAAUGAUGUUCUUGACAAAGAAAAAGAUGCGAGCAGGAAUUUUAACAUAGAUAAAUCAUUGUUUGAACUUUCAACAAGAAUCACGAGGGUUCUAGCAGAAAAAGGAUCUAAAAAUGUUCAUUGUGCAACAUCAACAAAUGCUAAAAAACGUGUUACAGAGCUUGCAAACAUCGGUGCUGACGGGUCUCUCUCUACGCCUUUAAUUGUUUAUUCAAACGUAAGAUUUCCAAUAAAUGUGUGCGAGGCAUUGCUAAAAUCGCUUGCUAUCGGGAAAAAUUAACUGCUAAAAUCGCUGCUAUCGGGAAAAAUUAACAAUAAACUUUAUAUAAAUACCUAGCUAAAUCUUUUUAAAGAUGGCUUAUUGGCAACAAAAUACCAAGACCAUUUAUUGUCUGGUCAGAAAAACAUGAAUAAAGAAUGAAUUAUCAUCUUGUAAAACAUCUGGCCAAACUUUCUUCCUUCAAAUACUACUCAUUGCCUUCGACUUUUCAAUAUUGGGGUGUUUGCCCCAUUAAAAGAAGUAUAGGACUUGUGUGUUAAAGAAUACAAAGCAAAGAACAAUAAUAAGUACAUUACUAAAGAAACAUUUGAUCAAGUUUUCAUUCCUCUUUAUCGUUUUGUAAUGAGCAAAGACAUAUUCAAAAACUCAUUUAGAAAAUGUGGCAUUUAUCCAUUUAACCCAGAAGCCCCAGAUUACAUUUAACUAACAAAAUAGGUUUAUCAUUCAAAUGUUCAUUUGGAUGUAAUGACUCGAUCAUUGAGUGUUCUCGUUAAGAAUCGCUCCGUUUUUCGACUAGGAACAAAUGGUUUAACUAUUUACAAAGGAGAAAUGCAGAAUAUUAACAAGCCAUGUAGAGGAAAGAAGCCAUAUAAAGAAAAGAAACCAUGUUAAAGGUAACAAU